UACAGAGGGUGCAAGCGUUAAUCGGAAUUACUGGGCGUAAAGCGUGCGCAGGCGGUUCGUUGUGUCGGUGGUGAAAUCCCCGGGCUUAACCUGGGAAUGGCCAUGGAAACUGGCGAACUGGAGUGUGGCAGAGGGGGGUGGAAUUCCGCGUGUAGCAGUGAAAUGCGUAGAGAUGCGGAGGAACACCGAUGGCGAAGGCAGCCCCCUGGGCUAGCACUGACGCUCAGGCACGAAAGCGUGGGGAGCAAACAGG
rnacentral:rRNA from 1 species